AUUGUUGGCAAAGAAAAGAUUAGAAGGUCCAUUGUCUAGAUUAAGUGCCUAUGUAUUUGAUUUUAUUAAAUGUAGGAGUGUUCGUGUGAUGUGUUUUUUUUGCUGUCGUCCAAAGUUAGAAACAAAGUUACAAACUAUUGGUUAUGAAAAUAGAUAUGCUAGAGUAUGAGGAGCGUGUGUUGUGUUCACUGUAGGCUGAAGGUAAAAUAGUUUGUUUUAUUUAUUACGAAAGUAGAAACACAUCUCAGAUAGUAUGACACUAACAUAUUGUGCAUAAAUUCUGAAAAUAAAUUUUAUCAUUUGUUUGUAAUAAUAGGAUAUGUCACAUAGGCCUGGGACAUACUAUCCGAGAUCCAUAUUCGAUCCGAGAUCUGCUCCGGAUCUGCUUCGAAAAUAGGAUAUCCGGGGUGUCCGGAUCCGAAUCCGAAUAAUAAAAUCUUGGAUCCGUGCAAACUAAAUCCGGAUCCGGAUAUCUUAAUUUUUAGGUCUGGAUAUCCGGAUCCGGAUCCGUAUUUUUAAAAGACAUUAAUUUUUAAAUUUUAUUAAUAUUUAUAUUUGAUAUAUUAAUUUUAGAAUUUCUAAGCCAAGAUCUCUUAUUUAGUUGAGAUUAUGAGUUGAUAAAAAUAGACAUUAACCGGCUUUCAAGAUGUUGCAAUCCAGUUCAUCAAAUUAUGUUUAUUCUUUUGUACUUAAGAUGCAAGUAAAUCCGGAUCCGGAUAUCUUAAUUUUUAGGUCUGGAUAUCCGGAUCCGGAUCCGUAUUUUUAAAACACAUUAAUUUUUAAAUUUUAUUAAUAUUUAUAUUUGAUAUAUUAAUAUUAGGAUUUCUAAGCCAAGAUCUCUGAUUUAGUUGAGAUUAUGAGUUGAUAAAAAUAGACAUUAACCGGCUUUCAAGAUGUUGCAAUCCAGUUCAUCAAAUUAUGUUUAUUCUUUUGUACUUAAGAUGCAAGUAACCUCAUGUACACAGAAAAUGUCACCAGGAAGAAAUUGUCCCGGUUUGCGACCAAUACAUGUAACCUAAUAUACUUUGUGUUAGUGUUGUGAGUUCAUAUACACUCGAAAUCUAUUUAACUGCUACAUGUUUUUCCCACAGCGGCACACAGCCAUUAAAUUCAUAUUCGAUCGUUGCAUGAUCAAUAGGACAGAAGCUUAAGAAUAUUAUCAUUUGGCAGCUUCUCUAAGAAUAAGAUAUCUUAAUGUAAAGCUGUGACUGUGAGGGAUAAAAUCAUUGGGCUUGCGUGUUAUACUACCUGACUGACAUUUCUUAUAACAUUUUCUCGAAGAUUCCAGUAUACUCCGGUUAACCGUCUCCGUCAAACCAGCCUGAAAUAAACUGGACUUUUCUGCAAACUUCUCCACAAGCUUUGGCAGUUGGACUUUCUGACUGGGUAAGCUUAAUUUAAUUUUAAUGUAGUCUUCUUUCGACUAUCUUUUAGCUCAUAUUGGAUUUUCUUCGGUGUAUAUACACGAACCUGUUUCAAAAAAAUCAACAACCAAGAAGCAGAUACUUCAGCUUUUAUUUGGCAUUGACUAAAGAGUUUCACAAUUUCUCUUAAAGAUCAAAAUACUAUGGGAUCGGAGUGGAUGCUUGAAGUAAGUGCAAAAUGUAGGAAAGGUUCAGGAUAAUCGAUUGUGUAAAGUUAAUAUUUCAGCUCCUGCUUUGGAUUUUUUUGAAGCAAAUAGUAGUCUAAGCCACUGAAAGAGAAUAAAUGUAAAGAAAAAACCUUUUUUAACUUUUGGUUUGUGUUUGGAAGCUAACCUUCCAAAUUUUUAGGAAUUUCUUUUCAAACUUACCUGUCCAGGAUGAGAGUCUUUACAAUUAAUGUGACAUCUAAUGUUAAAAUAUACAUUAGCUUAGUGUGAUAUCUCGUGUAGAAUAUAACUUGAAAAGGAAAAUAGAUAACGGUUAGGAGUAAAAAGUAUUUAGUUAUACAAAUUACAUAUAUUUAAUCUAAAAUUAUCACAAAAUAAUACACAUAAGAGAAAAUGACUAAAAUAUCAUUUAUUAUCAAAUGAAAAAAGAUUAAUAAAAAAUAUUAGUGAUAUACAUGUUUUUAAAUAUUAGAGAUGCAUAUAAUAUAUGGAAGAAUAAAUUAUUUUUAAACUUAGAGAUACAUAUGUUUUAAAAUCUUUUCGUGAAUAUUAUUUUUUAUGAUUUUUAUGUGCUAUUUUUUUUGAACGAUUGUAUGUGCUAAUUUUAAGACAACCAAAUAUAAUCUAAUGUUUAUGUAGCCAAACCGGAGUCAUUGUUUUUUUUUUGACAAAAAAAAAAUUCUUUCUCCACAUAUCGCAAUCACAUGUGUCAACAUAUACUUGACUUUCAUCUAAGCUAUUAGGAUAAGUGAAAUGCUGCCAACUUAGUAAAACCAUUUGACUCUUCUCGUUCUUUGAAAGCAACGAAGGUUGCCUAAACUUUAGGAAAAAAAAAAUCGAUCCCCAAAUUUGAAACUUUAAUCUUAGGGUUACUCAUGGGCCGUAUCCAUUUUCAGAAUCAUUUCCGUCUCGAUUCAGAAUCAUCUCCAUCUCGCCACUGCUAGCGCUUGAUCGGAUUGAUUUGCUUCAGGCGAAACAUGGUAGUGAUUCCUCCAAAGAUUUUGAAUUUAUUAAUCUUUGUAUGUGAAUCAUGUAAUUCCCUUUAGAUGCUCCGUCGCGGCUGUGGUGUCCAAAUCGGUGGGUUUGACAGUGAGUUAAGAAGGGUAGUUCUGGUCAGUUGCCUCUGUGUUUUCUCCACAGCUCCGGUGAAUUAAAGUUUGUCUCUUUGCUUCGUUGUCGUUUCUGCUUCAUAUGCCUCGGGAAUGAACUACAUAAAGCUUCUGGCCAGAAUCCAUGGUUCUCCGGUGAAUUCCAAGAGAAUUCAAAUGGAGACCCAAGAGAUGGGAAUUCGCUAAUUGUCGUAGCAUAUUAUUUGAAAGAAAAUCUGAAUGACAUAGAACGUGAGGAAUCAAAAUUAGUUACACGUAAUUAAGUUCUUGGAGUAAAGGCCAUAAUUGAGAAGAGUAAUUUCUUGGUGUGAAAGUUAAAAGGAAACGUUUCGAUGGCCCAUCGACGAUGGGGUUUGCAGAGUAGGCGAGAAGACAACGUUGUGAAAGAUUAUAGUUUUUCUAUAAUGGGGACAGGUGUCAGUCUCUCCUUUACCCAAUUGAUGAUGUGGCAUCACCAGGAGAGAGUGAACUCUACUUUAUAUAAUUAGAUGUGUUUUUGUCCUAAACCUUACUUUGAUGUUAAUUUCAUGCUUAAUUUCUUGAUCAUUUGUCUCACUUCUUACUUGUUUCCCUUUGAUGUAGGAGAUACAGAUUUGAGGACAAAUAUUUUCAAAGGAGGAGGGGAUGAUGCAACCAUGGUUGAGCCAGAUGACUAUGCAAAAAAGGAUAAGCUUGGAUGGCUGAAUGGAAAGCUUGAAGAUGAACCAGAGGCUGGAGUGGAGCAUGCUGAGCUUAUCUCUCACUCAAGUGACAUUGAAAAUCAUGUCAAACAAGCUGGAAAAGAUGUGAUCAGACUCAUCCAUGACUUAGGCCUCUUUCUCAGCCUAAAAGAAGAUCAACAUCCAAGUUGAGGAUCCAUUGUCUCUUUCUGAAUGGACAGCCACAAAAUUCAAGUCAAGAAGUCAGCCAAAAUAAUUAUUAUUGAGUUUUCAUAAAUUUUAGUUUUAAUUAAGUUUUCUCAUUUUUCUACAAAUUUAGGACUUUUCGAUUUCCUUUUUUUCUUCUCUACUUAAACUCUCUUUUUUUUUUCAGAACAAAACAUUCACCUUUUUUAUAAAAAUCUCUCUAAAUCUGUGAAUCA